AGCAACUGAUAUUCGCCCGAUUAUCAUACGAGAGUUGAAAUUCAUCCGGUAAAACACUAUUUUGAUGACGAGAUUCUUGAAGAUGAUUGUAAGGCAUAGGAUUCAUCUGCUUGAACCAGUAGAUAGACCGAUUGAUUCUCCCAUGGACCACAUCUCCAGUCAUCUUUAACUAUUAGUAGCCUGGAUUAAUUGCAUCUUAUCAAACAACAAAAUGGAUCUAUAUCUUCUGUAGGAAAACAAUGGUGAUGAAAAGUUGGCCUCGGAAUGAUGGUGAUGAUGGGGGUUGGUUUUCAACUCACACAUGCAUCAGCACCAUGUCAUUGCUGAAAAGUUGGCCAGGAAUUCCACCUGAAAGCUUGUUCUUAUUGAAAUGGCUGCCAAUUCAGAAAAGUUUCAUGCUUCAGAGGCUUUGUGGUGCCCUAAUUGCCAUAAAAACGAAAGAAAGGUAAUCAAACUUACAAAUGCUUUGCAUGUUUUAGCUGAUCCAAGCCAGGUUUGGUGUCACUUGAUACCGGAAUGGACCCUGUGAGAUGAUUCUCGGCAAGGUCCAACCAGUAAAGUUUGGAAAGAAGUCCCAACGAAGAAGGGAUUUCACCCGUCAAAUUGUUUGUGUUCAAUGCCCUGUUUGCAACAUGUUAAUUGAAAGCUGUUGUAGCAUAGUAGUUCUGGCGGUAAGAUCAGAGUUAAUUUGCCAGAUGUGCCGUUCUCUUUAAAAAAAAAGGAAGAUUAGAGUUUGAGAGAUUCAUACAAAAAUGAUAGCUCCUGAAGGUUUCCUAGUUCAGAUGGGAUGCUGCCGGUGAAGCUACAGCCCGCUAGGAUUCUGAGACAUAACGCGAAAAUAGGUGUCACGAAUAUAGUGUUUGUUAGGCUCAAGGAUAGUCCUAUCUCAAAUCUCAUUGAAUGGUGGCAUGUGUGUGAUAUGUGGAACCCCAUCGGAUUACUUUCCAACAUAGCCCUUAAAGUGAGAAUGGUGGUUCCAACAUAUAUUGAAGUAGAAAAUGUCCAAUUUUAGUUGAUGUGAGACUAACAGUACGAAAUGAGACACGGUUGUUUGAGGACAUACAAUAUGUUAAGACUUUUCAGGUUGCCUAUCCGCGGAGAAAUUGAACCAGUGAGGCCGCCAUUAAAUGACAAGUCCCUGGAACAUGAAUCAUAAUUUGUUUAUAUAUAUGUUGGCUGUUGGGCAUUGGAAAUGCGAGUCGAAUUGUAAUGUUCCUCACAAGGAUGUUAGUGCAGUGAGGCCACCAAUGUCGCCAACGAGCUGACCAACCAGGCCCAUGCUCGACAAUCCCCUGCAUACGAGAGAUCCAACCGGUGAACUCAACAGAAAUAAAGCGGAAAAGAUACUUAGGCCUCACUAGAGAAUGUUUGCAAUGAAAGUAGUUGCUACCAGCGCAAAAGUCAUCAAAAUGUAAUGAAGUUUGCUUUA